rnacentral:sRNA from 1 species
GAAUGGACCAGUGCAGAUGCACAGUCCUUAAAAUGGGAAGAGGAGGAGCCUGAGGAGUCUGUGAUAACUGACGAGGUCAGAGAACUGCAUCGGGAAGGUCUGAGCUAGGACUGAAAACGGAAUGUGUCAUAAACUAAGAAGUCAAGUGUCCUCUGAGCCAAGUCAGAAGUGGAUUGGGCUGAAUGUCCCCCAGAAGGCAUGAAGCCUAGUCAUGACUUUAGCUGGUGACAUCUGUCUCAGAGCCUGUACUCCAGAAAGUAAGCAAAAAUCUCUACACAGCCAUGAAAUGCCAUCUGCUCGAAACCACACAGACCAGCACACCAUGUUUCUCUGAGGUAGGAUGCAUCAUGGGUACAUUUUCUGUCUUAUGCACUUUUGUUCUUUUCGAUUUAUCUAGAAUUUAAUGCUAAACACUAUUUUGGGGGCUAAUGAAGUGGUCAACUUGAAAAGACAGUUGCCAACACAUUUAACAACCUGAGUUCAAUCCCUUGGACCCAUGUGGUAGAAGGCAAGAACAAACUCUGUCUGCUGUCCUCUGAUGGAUCCAUGCAAGCUGUGGCAGCAGUUAGAAAGUGGACAAAUAAAUUGGAGGUGGAUCUGGGAGAGUAGAUCAGACUUCAGUGGGAGAGACAAAGAUGACGAUGUUAUUGUAACAAUUCCCAAAAGAACUUGUGGACUGUAAUUGGUAAAACAGCCCAGGCAGGUAAGUGUACUGACUCGGAGAGGGCAAGGAGGACUCCCUUUGAAAAGGUUGGCGAGGAGAGAUUGAACUCGAUUGACACAGAGGCAUCUGAACAUAACUCGAGGGGUGUGGCCGAGCCACGCAAGUCACAGUCAGUCAGAAGCUUAUCAUUGUUUAAUUGAGCAGAGAGAAUGGGGCAGAUUUAUGUACUCACUGCAAGGGAGCAGAAUCUAUUCUUCCACAGGAAGCAGAACACUUUCGGCUGCAGGCAGCGCGCCCCACAAUUCCUCUAGUAAAUCUCCACCGCUGGGCAGCAUAGACACAAAGGUCUACGUGAUCCCAAUUCCCUGGUCUCAUUUUCUACUACUCAUGCUGCUGAUGAGGGCCCGGGUGACCCGUCUCGUGUCAGAUGAGCUACAAAGGGUUUUUCUCUUCAUGUUCUCCAUGGUUUGUUUUCCUCUUUGAUGGAAAGAAACGGCAUGUCAAAGUGAGACCGGUACAGUCCGCGGCACAGAAGCCCCUCAUCUGUCACUGACAACAUCCCAGACUUAUUCAGCCUCCUGCCCGGCUGCUGAGAGGGGAUAGGGUUGCCAGAAACCGGAGUAGAAAACUCUCAGAAAGUUAAACCAAGUGGGAGUAAUUAAGUUUUCCAAGUAUGGAGUGAAAUCGCUUUCCAAGAGUGGCAGGCAGAGCCCACCUGUCUCCCAGAAACUUCCAAGGUCCUGUGCCAGGAGAGUGAAGGGCUUUUUCUUGCUUUCUUUGCUUCUUUUGGGGGAGCCUGGUAGAUGUUCUGUCAGUGAGUGCUACUGAUCUACAGGCCUUCAGAGGGUUUACAUCACAGAGCGUGUUCUACUUUCACUGCCUGGCUAAGACUCAGACCCGGGACUCAACCUUGGAAAGUAAUCCGAGAUCAGGGUGAACACAGCCCCUCAUUGUUUCGAGCAAACGAGUCAAAGAUAGAUAACUCAUCCAAUAAUCUAAGUGGUGGAGUCGCUCAGCAACUCUAGGGUUUUCUUUUAACCUUAAAGAAAAACGUUUGCACAAUUCAAGCUUUAGCACAUAAUGAAUCCACUUAAAAUUAGAAAUCUCUCAUCAGAGAUUGUUCAAGCUCCUGUGGCUUCUCUUUGUGUGGUUAAUUUUGCUAAUGGUCAAGUUCCUGGCUGAGGAUAUCGACAGAACUGAGCUCUAUGCUUUCCCAAGCACGGGGCCUGUUGAAAGGAUGCUUAAUAAAGCCAAGAUAGGGCUCCUUUGUGCCUUUGAUGGGGAGACAGGAUAGUAUCAGACUGGAGAGAGCCUUAGGCAUGAUGGCUACCACAUGAGGAGAUAAUGCAGAGGGCAGUAAGGGCCUUAGAGCUAUUCUGAAGUGGAAGUCUGUGUUGAACAAGGAAUAUUUGAAACCGGAACCAGCCACAGCCUGAACUUAGAAAGGCUAUUGGCACUGGCUAAUGGGCUCAGUAUCUGAGGCCUGUAAUUCCUCCUUUUGUUGGCUCUUGGUUCUGAGGUGUGCACUCUUAACCUCUGCUACAUUCACACAUGAGUAGUAUAGUAGAAGUGUUUAGAACUGAUGGAAAAGGAGAUCUGUGUAACCUUGUGUCACUUCCCCGGAGGGAAUGAGAAGACGUGACCUUGUGUGUAGAAGUGAGUCUUGUAAGUGUGAUUGCAUCUGAACUCUGAAACUUAAUUGUGAAGCACAUGUUAAAAAUGAUUAAAAACCAAGGUUUAGGACUUGCUUAGAGAUAUAGAAGAAAACCACAGAACAGAACCUUCCAAGCUCAGCCCUUUUCAGUGAGUAUCAGAGCAGGAACACUUGGACUGUGGCAUAGCCAGUGCCUGCAAGCUUUGUAGAAAUGAAAAUACAGGAGAACUUGAGGGGAACAAAGCUUGUAACAUCCUCAGCCAAGGCCAUCUUGCAUUACAAAACACAUUCAAUCCAACAUCAAACACCUUCAUAUACCUACAUUCCAAUACUGUUUAAAGUCCAAAGCUUCUUCUGAGACUCAGAGCAGAAUCCUAGCUGAAAGGAAAGUUGAGACUAAACAAAGCUCAAUGGGGCAGACACCAAACUCCACAUCUGGCAUUUGAGGCUUUUGGAUUUAUCAUCUGGGACUUGAGGAACUUGAGCAGCCCUGACCUUUCAUCUUUGUGUGGGUUUUCUCUUGGGCUAGCUCCUCUUGGUGGCUGCAGCUUUUGACAUCCCAUGCUUCUUGGAUGCUUUAACAUCUCCAACUCAUCUUGGGCUUCACCUUCACAGCCUCGUGCACAGGAGUUCCGUGUAGGGUUUAAAACAUUGUUACAUGUUCUCUUAGUAGUUUUCUGAAGCCUUAGUACAACUCCCCGUGGUUUCACAAUUCUUGCGUGGAGUGUUAACACAAUUAGAUUUUCUAGAGAGUAGAGUUCCCAAAAGAGCUCAAGGUUCAUUAAUGGAAAGAUGCAGCCAUUGGAACAUGAGGUAGCUGGUCCACAACCUCAUCACAACCUUCCAUUUGUUCUUCUAUAUAGUAAAGCUCCCAUGACUCAAGGAUUUCAUCUAACAUAAUGUUUAAUGAAAGUGUCAAUUCCUAGCGUUUCUACAGCUUUUCUGAUGAAAUCAAGCAUAACCUUCCAGAAUUCCAUGAGUCAAACUAUAUAGAGAAAAUCAUACAUAUUUGUGCAUGAGAAAUGAGACAGGGGAAUAGGGAGACAGAUCAGUUACGUGAAUUUUCCUGAGUAGACAGGAAUUAAUGAACAUCUGCUUACCUUAGAUAGAGAACUAACAAGAGACUAACACAAUGACUUCACCAAGUCCAACAUGGUGGACUAGUGAGUUUACUGGGGUCACUUAUAGAGAGCGCAAGUGACUCUAAGACAGCUGCAUCCCUGAAAAGUCACCCAGUAUGGAACUCUUUGCAUCAUAUUCAGACAGCUCAAUAUGUAGCAGAGUCUCCUUUAGUUACCAUGGCGGUUGGUCUCUUCCCUAGCAGUUGUUGCUGCUUCCAUAACCAUGAGUAGCAACCUUGUGAAUCUGUUGGUUUCAGGAAUUUUCUGUGACUUGUGAGUUGUUUUCUUCCAGAAUCUCAUAAGACUCCCUUACUGUUCUGGAAUGAACUUUUCAAUUUGGAAGAAGUAACAACACAAGAUCAUAUACAUACAUGUAUUUUACAGAGAGAAUCACACUCAACUAAAUGUUGUAUUUGGUGUGCUGUCAUUAAGUAUGUUCCAUUCUACUUAGUCUGGAACUGAGGAAGCAAGAUUAACAAGCAUAAUA